UACGUAGGGGGCAAGCGUUAUCCGGAUUUACUGGGUGUAAAGGGUGCGUAGGCGGCCUGCUAAGUCUGGAGUGAAAGGUACCGGCUCAACCGGUACAGGCUCUGGAAACUGGCGGGCUAGAGAGCAGGAGAGGGCGGUGGAACUCCAUGUGUAGCGGUAAAAUGCGUAGAUAUAUGGAGGAACACCGGUGGCGAAAGCGGCUCUCUGGCCUGUAACUGACACUGAGGCUCGAAGGCGUGGGGAGCAAACAGG
rnacentral:rRNA from 1 species